rnacentral:lncRNA from 1 species
GUUAGCUAUUUAAUUUAUUGAGUUGUAUUUUUAUCGCUAAAGAUAGGAGCAACUCAAGCAACCUGAGGACAAAAUGGGAAAGCAGGAGGAGGAGAGAGAAACCAAAAAGUUGUAAAAGCAGCUGAAAAAGUGGGAUGACAGAAGAUUGAGAUUGUCCUUAUCAUAAUGGAACAGUCAGAGGGUACACAAUUAUAUAUACAGCUACUACUUUUAUGCAUGACAUAUCAGAAGGCCUCAGUGAUGGCAUUGUUAGUGAAGAUAUCUCUUAUGUAAGUUUGUUACCCAUAUUCAAAAUGUUCUCUAGGAUUGCUUGCAAAAUAUUUUUGGGGGGUUUUUUUGGACAGUUUCUCUGGCAUGUUUCCUUGCAUUUUGAGGGAUUCAAUACAUAAAUGCAAAAAUGUCUAACUCUGCAUUAACUUUCUGAUCUAUCUCUGCAUUAACUCUCUGGGCUAGACUGUAUAGCUUUAAACUAAUUGUUGUGUGCUUUGGCCUUCAUAGCAAUACUGUUUUUGUGGUUUUCAGAUUCUGUGCUGCUCUGGAACUUCUUGGAUUCAGCUUAGACCCCCUGUGUGCCAGAGAAGAGAGGCUACAAAUGCAUUGAAACAUGAAGAGUACAGAGAACCCGAUGAAUAAAACAGCCCUUCCAACUGUACUGAUUUGACAGGGACAGUCCAGAAUUAAUUCUCAAUCAUCCCAUUUUUUCAGCAGUUUUUAAAGUGUCCCUGUUUCUUUUCUCCUUCUUAAUUUUCCCCUUUGUCUAAAGCAGAGGUCCCCAAAUUAAAGCCUGCAGGUCAGAUGUGGCCUUUCAAGGCCUGGGCUGUGGUGCAGCUGGUGAGCAGCCAGCUGCAACAAAUCACUCUGACCAAGAGGUCAUGAGUUCGAGGCCAGCUCAGAGCCUACGUUUGUCUUUGUCUUUGUUCUAUGUUAAGGCAUUGAAUGUUUGCCUUAUAUGUGUAAUGUGAUCUGCCCUGAGUCCCCUUCAGGGUGAGAAGGGCGGAAUAUAAAU